rnacentral:lncRNA from 13 species
AUGUGCUUUGCCCUCAGCUCCAAUGAAUAUCACAGUAGUGAGGUGAAAUGUAGCUUCAAAGUCCUUCAGCCUCUCCCUCUCCUCAUUGAACACGGUGUCAGCUGGGCUCAGCUCUUUUCACGUGACUGUCUUUGCAUUGAUAGGCUGUCGAAACGUAACUUCUCAGUCCCUCCACGUCAGGGUCUCGAAACAACCCCCCCCCCCCCACAAACAUCCCUCUUCCCUCCAACUUUCCUCCAUGUCAAAGGAUUUCCUAAACAAACUUUCUUUCAGGGAUAUUAUUUUGUAGUCAUGUACAUUUCUGUAACUUCCCCAUCGUCUCCCACUUCCUCCUCAUCUUCCACCUCCUUUUCUCCUUUCUCUUCCUCCACCUCAGCGCCCUCUCCUAAGAUCACACACUGCCGGACGCUGACAGAGAUGACUAGUGCUUGCACGAUGCCGUACACCAGAGCAAAAUGUGGAAGAUACUCCUGGACCAACCAGAGCAGUCCUGCCAUUCCAACAGUGGAGACAAAAAACAUUGCCAUUCCAUGGAGCCACAACUUCAGUCCUCCUUGGACCCCUAGCAUCUCCAGGACCAACUUGGUAGGGGGGGACACAGUCCACAGGAAGCCCACCACGAGCAGGUCAAACAGGUGGCGAAGGAGGUUGAAGCAGAUCUCAUAG